rfam:Stegodyphus mimosarum contig113477, whole genome shotgun sequence.
GCCUUCGUGGUGUAGUGGUCUGCAUGAUCGACGCGUAACCGAGAGGUCCGUGGUUCGAUUCCCGGCGAAGGCG